AUUGAACGCUGGCGGCAUGCCUUACACAUGCAAGUCGAACGGCAGCACGGGAGCAAUCCUGGUGGCGAGUGGCGAACGGGUGAGUAAAGUAUCGGAACGUGCCCAGUCGUGGGGGAUAACGUAGCGAAAGUUACGCUAAUACCGCAUACGAUCUAUGGAUGAAAGCGGGGGAUCGCAAGACCUCGCGCGAUUGGAGCGGCCGAUAUCAGAUUAGGUAGUUGGUGGGGUAAAGGCUCACCAAGCCGACGAUCUGUAGCUGGUCUGAGAGGACGACCGGCCACACUGGGGCUGAGAAACGGCCAAGACUCCUACGGGAGGCAGCAGUGGGGAAUUUUGGACAAUGGGCGAACGCCUGAUCCAGCCAUGCCGCGUGCAGGAUGAAGGCCUUCGGGUUGUAAACUGCUUUUGUACGGAACGAAAAGGUUUGGCCUAAUAAGCUGAGCUCAUGACGGUACCGUAAGAAUAAGCACCGGCUAACUACGUGCCAGCCGCCGCAGUAA
rnacentral:rRNA from 1 species